UACAGAGGGGCAAGCGUUAUUCGGAAUUAUUGGGCGGUAAAGGGCGCGUGAGGCGGCCAUUCAAGUGAACGGGUGAAAGGCCCUCGGCUUAAACCGAGGAACUGCCUGUCAGACUGGAUGGCUUGAGACCGGGAGAGGUGAGUGGAAUUCCCAGUGUAGGCGGUGAAAAUGCGUUAGAUAUUGGGAGGAACACCAGUGGCAGAAGGC
rnacentral:rRNA from 1 species